UCUGUGAGGAGACCUGCAAAACAUGCACCGUGUGGGCUCCUGAGGACUGAGUUUGAGAACCUGUGGUUUAAAGAGCCCGGCGCGCAAGCGCAUUGGCGAGCGGCACGGGUUGCCAUGGCAACCAAGCCGGGACCCGAUCGUCACGCAACAGCCACGGGACACCGGAAGCUGACGGAUGGAGGGUGCGACACGAUAGUCCACAGGACGCCGGAAGUAACCCGGUGCCCGGCGGCGCGGGCGAUGCUCCUCCUCACCUUCCCUCACUCACAGCACAGAUCUUUAAAAGUGCUGUGCAGGCCUCCGGCGGGUUGCCAUGGAAAUGGCGCUGGAGAGCGCACGUCGCCUCCUGGUGACGUCAUCAGCCCCCGUCCAGGAAGCACUCACAGCGUUCGUGAUGGUCUGUGUCAGGCUCUAUUUAAGAUUCCAUACCUUUGGAGACAUAAAUCCACAUGUUGAACAAAGUGAUAUUGGGAAUUACCCUUUUGAUGUCCUCUGAUACCUACCCUUGAAGUCAUCAGGACAAAACGCGUAGGAUGAAAAGUUUAUUUGUCCAAUUCGAAGAUCCUUCCCUGAGCUCACACCUGAAUAAGGAGGAGGAAGGUUAUUGCGACAACUUUCCUGUAUUGGUCAUGGAUCAUUGAUUAUAUUUAUGCAUGUAAAAAUUACAAUUUUAUGAAAGCCUAUUUUAAAACUGAAAAUAAA